rnacentral:misc_RNA from 1 species
GAUGAAGAACGUAGUGAAAUGCGAUAAGUAAUGUGAAUUGCAGAAUUCAGUGAAUCAUCGAAUCUUUGAACGCACAUUGCGCCCGCCAGUAUUCUGGCGGGCAUGCCUGUUCGAGCGUCAUUUCAACCAUCAAGCCCCCGGCUUGUGUUGGGGACCUGCGGCUGCCGCAGGCCCUGAAAAGCAGUGGCGGGCUCGCUGUCACACCGAGCGUAGUAGCAUACAUCUCGCUCUGGGCGUGCUGCGGGUACCGGCCGUUAAACCACCUUCAUAACCCAAGGUUGACCUCGGAUCAGGUAGGAAGACCCGCUGAACUUAAGCAUAUCAAUAAGCGGAGGA